GACGAACGCUGGCGGCGUGCUUAACACAUGCAAGUCGAACGGAAAGGCCCUGCUUUUGUGGGGUGCUCGAGUGGCGAACGGGUGAGUAACACGUGAGUAACCUGCCCUUGACUUUGGGAUAACUUCAGGAAACUGGGGCUAAUACCGGAUAGGAGCUCCUGCUGCAUGGUGGGGGUUGGAAAGUUUCGGCGGUUGGGGAUGGACUCGCGGCUUAUCAGCUUGUAGGUGGGGUAGUGGCUUACCAAGGCUUUGACGGGUAGCCGGCCUGAGAGGGUGACCGGCCACAUUGGGACUGAGAUACGGCCCAGACGGCUACGGGAGGCAGCAGUGGGGAAUAUUGCACAAUGGGCGGAAGCCUGAUGCAGCAACGCCGCGUGCGGGAUGACGGCCUUCGGGUUGUAAACCGCUUUCGCCUGUGACGAAGCGUGAGUGACGGUAAUGGGUAAAGAAGCACCGGCUAACUACGUG
rnacentral:rRNA from 1 species